GAUUCGCUCGAUCGAGUCAUUUAUGUUUCGUCCCGAAGAAGAUCCGAAUCGUUUGUGAAUCUCAUCACUGUUAGAAAUCCAAGAGAAGAGAUCCUCUUCCCUUAACAUCAUCAGAGGAAAAAUCUGCUUCUUAAUCAAUUAGUUUCAGCGUUUGUACCUCUCUCUCUGGAUCCAUGUCAUCCUACAGUCUCUUCUCGAGCAAGGCGUGGUGAGACACUUUACACAAGAUUUACCUGUAAUUCAUAACGUGCUCUGUGACCUUCUCCCUCCCUCAGGACUCUGUGGUCUGUGUGUUCUGGUGUCUGCUGAGUCACCAGAAAUCUGCCAAGACACUGACACUUGCGCCUGCUCCAACAUCUGGCGCAUAAGGGCUUUAAGGUUUCCAGAACCAAUCUGCAAUAUUGCAUGGACACUUAAGUAUUUGAACUUUUGAAGUUUUGAACUUUCUCAAGGCUGUCAUUCUAGACACAAAACCUCCUCCACUGCAACAUCCUUUGACCUGGACUGACGCUAUGGUGGUCGCUUAUCACUCCGUCAGAAGCACCCUUUGUUC